CCCGCACAAGCGGUGGAGCAUGUGGUUAAUUCGAAGCAACGCGAAGAACCUUACCAGGUCUUGACAUCCCGAUGCUAUUUCUAGAGAUAGAAAGUUACUUCGGUACAUCGGUGACAGGUGGUGCAUGGUUGUCGUCAGCUCGUGUCGUGAGAUGUUGGGUUAAGUCCCGCAACGAGCGCAACCCCUAUUGUUAGUUGCCAUCAUUCAGUUGGGCACUCUAGCGAGACUGCCGGUAAUAAACCGGAGGAAGGUGGGGAUGACGUCAAAUCAUCAUGCCCCUUAUGACCUGGGCUACACACGUGCUACAAUGGUUGGUACAACGAGUUGCGAGUCGGUGACGGCGAGCUAAUCUCUUAAAGCCAAUCUCAGUUCGGAUUGUAGGCUGCAACUCGCCUACAUGAAGUCGGAAUCGCUAGUAAUCGCGGAUCAGCACGCCGCGGUGAAUACGUUCCCGGGCCUU
rnacentral:rRNA from 1 species